GAAGCUGUGGCUCAGUAGGUGAAAGCCCCGGCCUGCAGUGCUGGCAUCCCAUAUGGGUGCUGGUUCGAGUCCUGGCUGCUCCA
rnacentral:tRNA from 1 species